GGAUGGGUGCCCGAGUGGUUGAAGGGACCGGUCUUGAAAACCGGCGACGGUUAACGCCGUCCGUGGGUUCGAAUCCCACCUCAUCCG
rnacentral:tRNA from 1 species